CAAAACUCAACGUUGGAAAUUAUUUGGCCGGAGUUUAUGGCCACAGUGGCUGUGUUCGUCGGAAUAGUGAGAGAGAGCGAACGGAGUUGCUGUGUCGGCUGAAGCAGAGGAGUCGAUACUCGCCUGAGCUGCAGCGCUCACUGGAGUCACGGCGAGGAGGCGCGACGUCGAGCGGUGGCGACUGGAGAGAGAUCGCUGCUCAGUCGUUGGUGCUGCUGAGUUCCGUGAGAACGAAUGCGAAAGAGAGAGAGACCGAGAGGUGGUGGUGGCAUGCGAUGAAAGCUCGUCGAGCCUGUCUCAGGUAGUCGGAGAGAGACAGAGAGAGA
rnacentral:lncRNA from 1 species